rnacentral:rRNA from 1 species
CAGGGAAGAAGCGAAAGUGACGGUACCUGCAGAAAAAGCGCCGGCUAACUACGUGCCAGCAGCCGCGGUAAUACGUAGGGCGCAAGCGUUAUCCGGAAUUAUUGGGCGUAAAGAGCUCGUAGGCGGUUUGUCGCGUCUGCUGUGAAAACCCGAGGCUCAACCUCGGGCCUGCAGUGGGUACGGGCAGACUAGAGUGCGGUAGGGGAGAUUGGAAUUCCUGGUGUAGCGGUGGAAUGCGCAGAUAUCAGGAGGAACACCGAUGGCGAAGGCAGAUCUCUGGGCCGUAACUGACGCUGAGGAGCGAAAGGGUGGGGAGCAAACAGGCUUAGAUACCCUGGUAGUCCACCCCGUAAACGUUGGGAACUAGUUGUGGGGUCCAUUCCACGGAUUCCGUGACGCAGCUAACGCAUUAAGUUCCCCGCCUGGGGAGUACGGCCGCAAGGCUAAAACUCAAAGGAAUUGACGGGGACCCGCACAAGCGGCGGAGCAUGCGGAUUAAUUCGAUGCAACGCGAAGAACCUUACCAAGGCUUGACAUAUACGAGAACGGGCCAGAAAUGGUCAACUCUUUGGACACUCGUAAACAGGUGGUGCAUGGUUGUCGUCAGCUCGUGUCGUGAGAUGUUGGGUUAAGUCCCGCAACGAGCGCAACCCUCGUUCUAUGUUGCCAGCACGUAAUGGUGGGAACUCAUGGGAUACUGCCGGGGUCAACUCGGAGGAAGGUGGGGAUGACGUCAAAUCAUCAUGCCCCUUAUGUCUUGGGCUUCACGCAUGCUACAAUGGCCGGUACAAAGGGCUGCAAUACCGCAAGGUGGAGCGAAUCCCAAAAAGCCGGUCCCAGUUCGGAUUGAGGUCUGCAACUCGACCUCAUGAAGUCGGAGUCGCUAGUAAUCGCAGAUCAGCAACGCUGCGGUGAAUACGUUCCCGGGUCUUGUACACACCGCCCGUCAAGUCAUGAAAGUCGGUAACACCUG